GAGCAAAUCCAAUUAAGCACUCCAAGCUAUGAAUUUUCUAAGUUAUCUCGGAGACCGAUACCAUGUCUUGUUGCUAAGGAAUCAUUGACUCCUCCUUUGCAUACACUACUUGAUUGAGAAAAACUUAGUAGUUCACUACACUGCAAACCAUUGUUCUCUUACCUUUCUCUGAAAAUCCAUUCACUUUGCUGUUGUUGAGAUCAUAUCGUCAUGGCUGGUGCACUUGUUGGUGGAGCUUUCCUUUCUGGCUUCAUUAACGUUGUCUUUGACAGGUUGCUCACAACGGAUACGGUCAACCGGGUCUUGGGCAAGAAACUUGGCCCUGACUUGGUUGAGAGGCUGAAAAUUUCUCUGCAUGCUGCUGAAGCUGUGCUUGAUGAUGCUGAGUACAAGCAACUGGGCGACAAUCGUGUGAGGGAUUGGCUCAACUGUCUGAGAGAUGCUGUUUAUGAUGCUGAUGACUUUCUGGAUGCUGUACUCACCAAAGCCGCCACUCAAAAGGAGGUACCUAGUUUCUUCCUCAACCGACAUAGGAAGAUGGUAGAUAACAUGGAAGGGGUGGUUUCAAGAAUAGAAUUUCUUGUAAGUCAAAAAGAUAUCCUUGGUCUUCAAAAGACUACCAAGGAUAAUAACUUGUCAUCAUCAUCAUCAUCAUCGUCAUCAUGGCGAGAAACCACAUGUCUGAUGGAAGGGAGCAUAUAUGGCAGGGAGGAUGAUCAACAAGUUCUAAUCGAAAUAAUAAAUGACAAGAGUGAAUCUCAGUUAUCUGUGAUUCCUAUUGUUGGCAUGGGUGGGGUUGGUAAAACAACCUUAGCCAAAUGGGCGUACAGUGUCGUGGAAGGAUUUGAUCUGAAAGCAUGGGUCUGCAUCUCUGAAACAUUUGAUGUCGCUGAGAUUACAAAGAAAACCAUUGAGGAGAUUACUAAAAAUUCUUGUACCCUUGGGAGUUUCAAUUUGCUUCAAAAUAAACUGCAGGAAAUCUUGUCGGGAAAGAAGUUCUUUAUUGUUCUAGACGAUGUCUGGAGCGAAGAUGCCGAUAAGUGGAAGCAAUUUAUAACUCCUUUUCACUGUGGGGCUAAGGGUAGUACAAUUCUUAUAACAACUCGCAAUCAAGAGGUUGCUUCAGUAGUUCAAACAUGUCCCUCUUGCACCCUUAAUGAGUUGUCGGAAGAGUCUUGUUGGUUAUUGUUUGCAGCCAAUGCAUGUUUUCCAGAGUCAAACGGGAACCCAACACUAGAGGAUGUGGGUAGAAAGAUUGUGAAGAGGUGUAAGGGGUUGCCAUUAGCUUUAGAAACACUUGGGCGUUUCUUGCGAGGAAAGGAUGAUGUUAAAGAAUGGAAUGUUGUUUUAAUGAAUGACAUUUGGGAAUUGAAAAAUAGUAAAAUUAUUCCAGCAUUGUUAAUAAGCUACUUCCAGCUACCUCCUUACUUGAAGCGUUGUUUCGUCUAUUGUUCCUUGUUUCCCAAAGAUAAUGAGUUUGAGAAAAAUGAACUAGUUUUGCUGUGGAUGGCUGAAGAUCUUUUAAGGCUACCAAAGAGAGGAGAGAGUUUAGAAGAAGUUGGUUCUCAGUGUUUUGAAGAAUUAGCUUCAAGGUUAUUUUUUAAACCAGCUGAUGAGGAUUUUCCCGAGGAGUACGUGAUGCAUGAUCUCUUGCAUGACUUGACAAUAUUCCUUGCUGGAGACUUCUAUUGUAGAAUACAAGAGCUUGGUGAACAAGAAAAGAAGGUUCUCACUCGUCAUUUGUCAUGUUUCUCACAUCAAAGCUUAUGUCCUCCAAUCACAAAAGUCUCCAACUCCAUUGCGAAAUUGGAAUCUUUGAGGACAUCGUUGUAUAUCAAUGAUUUCUUUAGCAUGGAAAGCGGAGAAUCAAAGUUUAAAUACUUGAGAGUUUUAUCCUUUGAUGAACUUGAUGUAUUACCUGAUUCAAUAGGUGAAUUGAUUCAUCUACGUUAUUUGAAUCUCUCUGGGUGUAACAUUGAUAGGUUGCCGGAAUCGUUGUGCAACUUGUAUAAUCUACAAACUUUAAUAUUGUAUGGAUGUACUAAGCUGACCAUGUUGCCCAGUGGCAUGCAUAAUCUUGUGAAUCUACGGCAUCUUGAUCUUAGGAAAACUUCUUUGGAAGAAAUGCCUGGUGGAAUAAGCAAAUUGGAACACUUGCAUACCUUACAUUCCUAUAUGGUGGGCAAUAAUGAAGAUAAUGGAAUCCAGGAAUUAGGAGGUCUCUCAAAUCUUCAUGGAUCAUUUGAAAUUAAGAAGUUGGAGAAUGUUGUUGAUGUCAGACAAGCAACGAGUGCAAGGAUAAGAGAUAAGAAGCACAUUGAUAGGUUGCGGUUGACGUGGUCUUCAGGUGGUGAUAUGGUUUCAAAUACGCAAACUGAGAGAGAGAUACUCCACAGCUUGGAACCGCACAAUGGCUUGAAAGAGUUGACAAUAAGGCGAUACAGGGGUACAAUAUUUCCAGAUUGGUUGGGGCACUGUUCUUACAACAAUAUGACAAGUGUAUCUUUGGAGUCUUGCAACAAUUGCUGCAUGCUGCCUUCACUUGGACAGUUGCCAUCUCUUAAGGACCUGUACAUUCAAGAUUUCGGUCAGCUCAGCAGCAUUGGAAUUGAGUUUUACAAGAAUGAACACAAUCCUUCUUUGCAUAUUGCUCCUCCUUUUCCCUUGUUGGAGAGUUUGAAAUUUCAUAAAAUGGCAUGCUGGGAGGAGUGGCACUUACCUGACUCAAAAGCUUUUCCUCAGCUUAAGAGUCUUCAAAUAACAGAUUGUCCAAUGUUAAAGGGAGAUAUGCUCAAUCAUGUAUUAGUGAGAAUUGUUUCUUCCUCAAUGGAUGUUUCAGAAGUUCGCAAACUGGAAAUAAGACAAGAUGACAAAGGAAGGUUUCUACAGAUGCUAUUCUCUGGGGAUAUUUUAUCAUUUAGCGGUUGUGAAUCUAUGGUGGAGUCUGCAAUUAAGGCAAUGAUGAGCAUCAACCAUCUAAGUUGCCUCCAAGAAAUAGAAAUCUCAGAGUGUUCAUCACUGAUCUCGUUUUCGUUGGAUGCCUUUCCCAGUCUCAAAGUUCUCGAGAUAAAAGGGUGUUUAAAUCUGGAAUCAGUGUCAAUGUCAGAGCCACCACCUAAAUCUCUGCAAAAUCUGAGAAUCUUGCAUUGCAGACAACUGGAAUUUCUUCAACAACAACAGCAGAAGUAUGAUUUGGUAGAGCUACAAAUAGAUUCCAGCUGUGAUUCACUGACCUCCUUGUCAUUGGAUGUCUUUCCCAAUCUCAAGAAUCUCAAGAUAUAUAAUUGUAGGAAUCUGGAAUCAGUGUCAAUGUCAGAGGCACCACACGCUGCUCUUCAACGUCUCUCCAUCUUUGACUGCCCUGAAUUAGUGUCAUUUGCAGGAGAAGGACUGGCUGCACCCAACUUGACUCAUCUUACUAUCUCUAAUUGCGACAAAUUAGUGUCAUUUGCAGGAGAAGGACUGGCUGCACCCAACUUGACUCAUCUGGAGAUAGAAGGGUGUAUGAAUCUGGAAUCAGUGUCAAAGUCAGAGGCACCACACGCUGCUCUUCAACGUCUCUCCAUUACUUACUGCCACAAAUUAGAAUUCCCCCAGCUACAGCAGCACAUGUAUGAUUUGGUAGAGCUACAAAUACAUUACAGCUGUGAUUCACUGACCUCCUUGUCAUUGGAUGCCUUUCCCAAACUCAAGAAUCUGGAGAUAUUUUGGUGUAGGAAUCUGGAAUCAGUGUCAAUGUCAGAGGCACCACUUGCUGCUCUUCAACGUGUCAUCAUCUAUGAAUGCCCUGAAUUAGUGUCAUUUGCAGGAGAAGGACUGGCUGCACUGAACUUGACUCAUCUUUAUGUCAGUGGGUGCUCAAAGUUGGAGGCAUUACCACGUGACAUGAAGAGUCUACUCCCAAGUUUACACUCUCUCCAGAUAUACGGUUGCCCAAACAUUUGCAGGUUGCCAGAGGGUGGUUUCCCGCCUAACUUGAAAGAGCUUCAUGUGGAAAUUGGCGAGGAACAAAUGAGGGAUCUAUCAUGGAUGGGCAACUUGCACGCCCUCACUCAUCUUACCAUUCAUGGUGAUUACUGCAACAACAUAAAGUCAUACCCAGAGGUGGGUUCGCUGCCUCACCUUCCCUCCCUUACCACUCUCAAGAUAUGCUGGUUCGAUAAUCUGGAGACAUUGGAAUGCAACGAGCUUCUCCGCCUCACCUCCCUUCAACAACUACAUAUUAAUUCGUGUCCAAAGCUGGAGAAUAUGGAAGGAGAAAAGCUGCCUCCCUCUCUCUUGCUACUCAAAAUUGAAGGGUGUCGUUUGCUGGGAGAACACUGCAAGAACAAGCAUCAACUAAUCUCGCCCAAAAUUUCCCACAUCCCCACCAUUGAAGCCGAAAACUUCUCCGAUACAGAUUCUGAGUAGUAUCUACACUAGAAUGAACAAGAUAGAAAAGGAAGACACGAUGGACAAAGUUGGAGUGGCACUUCUUAGUGAAAAGCUUCUGAUUUUGUUGACAAAUUCACAAGUUGAUGAAGAUAUGUAGCUAAUGCAGAUAUGAUUCAAGAAUAUGCUUUCCACAUUUAAAGAUGACAAUCCUGUACCUGAAAUAAUCAUUAGAAGGUGAAGUUCUGGUGAUGCCAUCAGGAGCAACUUCAUUCCUAUCAACUUCACUCAUUGAUCUUUAUCGUGUAUGUGCAGUUUGUACAUAUAUUAACCUGCAGUGGGAUUCAAGUGAUUCAAGAAAAAGCAUGGUCAUAGAAUAGUUUAUCUUUUUGGACUGAAUUGAAGAGGAUAGCUACAAAUAUACAGGGUUAUUUUUAUGUAAAGUCAGUGUAUUAUGUGCAUCUGUGGUUAUUGUGAUGACAUUAUGACAAACAUUUAGUUUUGAAAUGGAUCUUAAUGCCAGUUUCAGUCAAAAUAUGCAAAAUAAAUGAAGAAUCAUCUUUCACCUUUACUUUCGUUUUUCCAAAGAAAAAAUAAGAUUGAAAGAUAAACGAUGCCAUUAUGAAAAUUAGUAAUAGCACAUGGGGAGAAAAGAUGAUAAAGUUAGCAUGAAGGAGCAUAACAGGUGAAGGAGUUGUGAAUAUCAAUUCACAUCAAAUC